CCUCAGCCUGACUUUUCUUUGCAAUGUUCUCAUAUUGUGUCNNNAUGCUGUCCAGGUCCAGGCUACGGUUGUUGUCCAUGGAGAGGACCACAGAUGUGUCUGAGAUGUGAGUUUGCA
ensembl:miRNA